GAGAAACAUCAGUGACGAAGGAGGCUCACUGGACCAUUACUGACGCUGAGGUGCGUAUGCGUGGGGAGCAAACAGGAUUAGAUACCCUCGUAGUCCACGCCGUAACCGAUGAAUGUUAGCCGUCCGGGGGUUUACCUUUCGGUGGCGCAGCUAACGCAUUAAACAUUCCGCCUGGGGAGUACGGUCGCAAGAUUAAAACUCAACCGAAUUGACGGGGGCCCGCACUAGCGGUGGAGCAUGUGGUGUAAUUCGAAGCAAUGCGCAGAACCUUACCCGCCCUUGACAUACCGGUUGCGGACCCAGAGAUGUGUCUUUCAGUUCGGCUGGACCGGAUACAGGUACUGCAUGGCUGUCGUCAGCUCGUGUCGUGAGAUGUUGGGUUAAGUCCCGCAACGAGCGCAACCCUCCCCCUUUAGUUGCCAGCAUUUAGUUGGGCACUCUAAGGGGACUGCCGGUGAUAAGCCGAGAGGAAGGUGGGGAUGAAGUCAAGUCCUAAUGGCCCUUACGGG
rnacentral:rRNA from 1 species